rnacentral:rRNA from 1 species
CCUACGGGUGGCAGCAGUGAGGAAUAUUGGUCAAUGGGAGGAAUCCUGAACCAGCCAUGCCGCGUGCAGGACGACGGCUCUACGAGUUGUAAACUGCUUUUGUACCGGGGUAAAAUGCUCUACGAGUAGGGUUUUGAAAGUACGGUACGAAUAAGGAUCGGCUAACUCCGUGCCAGCAGCCGCGGUAAUACGGAGGAUCCGAGCGUUAUCCGGAUUUAUUGGGUUUAAAGGGUGCGUAGGCGGAACAUUAAGUCAGCGGUAAAAUCGAGGGGCUCAACCCCUUUAAGCCGUUGAAACUGGUGAUCUUGAGUGGGCGAGAAGUAUGCGGAAUGCGUGGUGUAGCGGUGAAAUGCAUAGAUAUCACGCAGAACUCCGAUUGCGAAGGCAGCAUACCGGCGCCCGACUGACGCUGAGGCACGAAAGCGUGGGGAUCGAACAGGAUUAGAUACCCCUGUAGUC